rnacentral:rRNA from 1 species
AGAGUUUGAUCCUGGCUCAGAUUGAACGCUGGCGGAAUGCUUUACACAUGCAAGUCGAGCGGCAGCWKGGACUUCGGUCUGAUGGCGAGCGGCGAACGGGUGAGUAACAUAUAGGAACMUACCCAGUAAUGGGGGAUAACUCCGAGAAAUCGGAGCUAAWACCGCAUACGCCCKGAGGGGGAAAGCGGGGGAUCUUCGGACCUCGCGUUAUUGGAAUGGCCUAUWUCUGAUUAGCUAGUUGGUGAGGUAAAGGCUCACCAAGGCGACGAUCAGUAGCUGGUCUGARAGGAUGAUCAGCCACACUGGAACUGAGACACGGUCCAGACYCAUACGGGAGGCAGCAGUGGGGAACUUUGGACAAUGGGCGAAAGCCUGAUCCAGCCAUUCCGCGUGAGUGAAGAAGGCCUUCGGGUUGUAAAGCUCUUUCGGCAGGAAAGAAAUUGCCGUUUCUAAUACAAACGGUAGAUGACGGUACCUGAAGAAGAAGCACCGGCUAACUACGUGCCAGC